UUUAAUAGUUGGACGACAGCUCCACCCAUCUUUAUUCUUUCUCCAGCCCCAAGCAAGGAGCUGUUCUUUUUCUGACAACUAGCUAUGUCCAAAGCCGUUAACUUGAAGCUCACUUCACUUGCAACCGAUCAAAAGGCUCGUUGCAAUGCAGUUAUGUGCUAGCUUGCGUUGAGGGUUCAUGCUCCACUAACUAGCAAAUCUAUUUCGACCACUUAUCCCUCACCACACCCUAAUUUUCGGGGGGAGAAAGUGAACGAGGUGCAAUACCAUUGCAAGUGUUUUCCGAGCACAGAAUACAUUGCAACAGUUUUCUGAACACAGGUUUCAGAUGGGCUAGAUCCUUCAGUUCUGUUUUCUUCCUCUACGGAGCAAUGGAUAUGUUCUUUUUCUAAAAAAACCAUGGCAACGGCUAUUUGCACACCAGAAAAUAGAAGAGCUCAUCAUUGCACAACAGCAAAUUCCUUGCCUUGACGAUUAAUUUUCUGUACUUCUCCCUUGCCACAACAAAUUUUCACCUGGAUAAAGUUUCUUGGGUUUUCUCCAGACAGAAUACCUUGCAGCUACCUAGCCAAACCAGAUCACAAGAGAAUUCGAAUUCGGUAUUUGUGAAGGUUCAUGCGGAGGUGCACAGAUGGGUUAUAUUUCUUGAGGUUCAUGUCUUAAUUAGCUGCCCCUUCCUAUACAGAAUUCAUCAUGCCUAAAGAGGAGCUUAAUGGUGUGUUUAACGUCAAGAGAGCGGUAGAGAAAAUAAUCCCUUACUUGGAGGAUACUGGAAGAACUGCACAUAAGGCCAUUUACUUCGAUGGACGGGACGGGCUGGCUGCUUCUGCUGUGCGCACAGUCAUAGCUAUAGCAGAGGACCCGCCCCCAUCUCUGAAGGAGAAAUUCACCAAGAUCCUCCACAUUGACUGCUCAAGGUGGAAGAGCCGGAGGGCACUCCAGAGGGCAAUCGCUGAUGAACUCGAGCUUCCUCAGAGGGUAAUGGCUGCUUUUGAUAGGGAAGAUGAGGAGGACGAUUUCAGCAUAGUAGACGAAGGUUCUAGAGCUGAGAUUGGAGAAGUCGGGGAGGUAUACUUGAGUCCCUAUUAGGGAGUAGAUACUUAGUUGUCUUCCGUAAUGGAAGCAAUGAUACAGUUGACUUGGUCAGCUGUGGCAUUCCACAACCUGGAUUCUUUGGCUCUAAGAUAUUGUGGACUUUCAGAGGAAGACUUCGGCUCAACCCAGAAAUAAAA